rnacentral:rRNA from 1 species
GAUGAACGCUAGCGGGAGGCCUAAUACAUGCAAGUCGAGCGGCAAGGUCUUCGGACCCUAGAGCGGCGCACGGGUGAGUAACGCGUACGCAAUCUGCCCUUCAGUGAGGAAUAGCCCUGGGAAACUGGGAUUAAUACCUCAUAAUAUUGAAUGGUCGCAUGGCCAUUUAAUUAAAGUUCUGGCGCUGAAGGAUGAGCGUGCGUCUGAUUAGCUAGUUGGUAGGGUAACGGCCUACCAAGGCGACGAUCAGUAGGGGGCGUUAGAGCGUGACCCCCCACACGGGUACUGAGACACGGACCCGACUCCUACGGGAGGCAGCAGUAAGGAAUAUUGGGCAAUGGAGGCAACUCUGACCCAGCCAUCCCGCGUGAAGGAUUAAGGCCCUAUGGGUUGUAAACUUCUUUUGUUUGGGAAGAAAUCUGGUCAUUUAUGAGCAGUUGACGGUACCUUACGAAUAAGCACCGGCUAACUCCGUGCCAGCCGCCGCCGUAAAAC